ensembl:lncRNA XACT X active specific transcript
CUUGGGAGCUCAGUUUUUUGAGACGUAACUCUGCCGACGCGCCUGGCCAAAUAAAGCCCUCUCCUUCCUCAACUCGGUGUCUGUGGCUCGUCCUGCUACAAUGCAUCUACCCAUACAGAUGGUGUCCGGAAUUUCAAAUAAUACUGAGUUAUGGGAAUUGCCACAGAAUGUAAACACCAUGAGAACACAGGCUUUGUCUGCCACAUUUAUUGCUGCAUUUGCAGCAUGUAGAAUGGUGACUGACAUAUAAGAAGUACCAAUUAAACAUUUGUGGAUGAGUCAAUGAAGAAACUUGUCAAAGCACUUCAAUUAAAACACAGAAACUAUAGAAAAUCAUCUGGUAAACAUGCUGAUGAUGUCCUAAACCUGAUCACUUGUCUCAAAAUUUAGAAAGUUAAUGGCUGAAGAUUCAGCAGCCAUUCUGAACUGGAAAUUACAUGUUAAGGCUGUUAUAGAAGAAAUAAAGAAAUUAAAUCUCUAUGUCCCCAAGGUAUCUCUAUACCGGCCUGGAAUGCCUAUCUCCAAACCUCCUUUACAUGAGACAGAAACAGCUUCUAUCACCUUAAAAUCUGUUACUUUAGGUUUUUUUCAUUAUGAGCAGCUAAAAUGAAUCUUACUUGAUACAGUGUGAGUGUUCAUGGAUUAGGGCAUUGUUUGAUAAGAGGAGUAAGAAAAGAAUAUAAAUUGUAUUGGCCCUGAUAUGCCACAAACAAUGAGGGCUGAAGCCAAAUUAAUCAAAGAAUAAACUCAAAUACAAAGAACAA